rnacentral:lncRNA from 1 species
CCCCUCUCCCGGCUGUAAGGCUGUGGGGUCGCCCGCACUCCAAACCCUUUGCCUGUGAUUCCCAAGUGUUGGGGGCCCCUGAAGCCAAACCCCAGGUCCUGGCUGCACCUUGGCAACAAGGCUGAGGGAUAGGUGUCCCUAAGGACUAAUCAACAGGAACUGGAAGGGCCUUAGAGUGGGGACAGGAGCCUGAAGACAAGACACAGGAACAGGAGACAGUUGGUCCAGGCCUUGUCCUGCGCUGUGCCCAUAAUGGCCCUACUGCUGGCCUCAUACACUCUACCCAAGGAAGGGCCCGAGGCCACAGAUAUAAGACCCUAGCAGGACUGGAGGGGCCCACUAGACAGAGCUG